GUGCUUGCUUCGGCGCACAUACACUAAAAUUGGAAUAAUACAGAGAUUAGCAUGGUCCCUGUGCAAGGAUAACACGCAAAUUUGUGAAGCAUUCCAUGUUUUA